rnacentral:rRNA from 1 species
GAUGAACGCUAGCGGCAGGCCUAAUACAUGCAAGUCGAACGAUAUCAUGCAGCUUGCUGGAUGAGAAAGUGGCGCACGGGUGCGUAACGCGUAUGCAACCUACCUUUAUCAGGGGGAUAGCCCGGAGAAAUCCGGAUUAAUACCGCAUAAAAUCACAGGAUGGCGUUAUCCAAUGAUCAAACAUUUAUGGGAUAAAGAUGGGCAUGCGUGUCAUUAGCUAGUGGGCGGGGUAACGGCCCACCAAGGCGACGAUGACUAGGGGAUCUGAGAGGAUGGCCCCCACACGUGUACUGAGACACGGACCAGACUCCUACGGGAGGCAGCAGUAAGGAAUAUUGGUCAAUGGGCGGAAGCCUGAACCAGCCAUGCCGCGUGCAGGAAAACUGCCCUAUGGGUUGUAAACUGCUUUUAUCCGGGAAUAAACCUGCUUACGUGUAAGUAGCUGAAUGUACCGGAAGAAUAAGGAUCGGCUAACUCCGUGCCAGCAGCCGCAGUAA